rnacentral:tRNA from 1 species
GUGGGAGUACUCAAGUGGCUAUAAGAGGAGUCCCUGCUAAGGAUUUAGGCCGGGUUUCCGGUGCGGAAGUUCGAAUCUUCUCUCCCACGCCA